GACGAACGCUGGCGGCAUGCCUAACACAUGCAAGUCGAGCGAGUUGAUCCCUUCGGGGUGAAGCUAGCGGCGGACGGGUGAGUAACACGUGGGCAACCUACCUCAUAGAGGGGAAUAGCCUUCCGAAAGGAAGAUUAAUACCGCAUAAGAUUGUAGCUUCGCAUGUAGCAGCAAUUAAAGGAGCAAUCCGCUAUGGGAUGGGCCCGCGGCGCAUUAGCUAGUUGGUGAGGUAACGGCUCACCAAGGUGACGAUGCGUAGCCGACCUGAGAGGGUGAUCGGCCACAUUGGGACUGAGACACGGCCCAGACUCCUACGGGAGGCAGCAGUGGGGAAUAUUGCACAAUGGGGGAAACCCUGAUGCAGCAAUGCCGCGUGAGUGAUGACGGCCUUCGGGUUGUAAAGCUCUGUCUUCGGGGACGAUAAUGACGGUACCCGAGGAGGAAGCCACGGCUAACUACGUGCCAGCCGCCGCGGUAA
rnacentral:rRNA from 1 species